ACGGGUGAGUAACACGUGGGUAACCUACCUAUAAGACUGGGAUAACUUCGGGAAACCGGAGCUAAUACCGGAUAAUAUUUCGAACCGCAUGGUUCGAUAGUGAAAGGUGGUUUUGCUAUCACUUAUANAUGGACCCGCGCCGUAUUAGCUAGUUGGUAAGGUAACGGCUUACCAAGGCGACGAUACGUAGCCGACCUGAGAGGGUGAUCGGCCACACUGGAACUGAGACACGGUCCGAGACUCCUACGGGAGGCAGCAGCC
rnacentral:rRNA from 1 species